AUGUUCACGGCCGGCACGGACACAUCGUCCAUCAUUGUGGAGUGGGCAAUGGCGGAGAUGAUGAACAACCCAUCUAUCAUGGCGAGCGCCCAGGAGGAGAUGGACCGCGUCGUCGGCCGUGACCGCCGCCUCGAGGAAUCCGACAUCGCCAACCUCCCUUACCUGCAGGCCAUAUGCAAGGAGGCCAUGCGGCUCCACCCGUCCACGCCGCUCAGCCUGCCGCACUUCUCCUUUGAGGAGUGCGAGGAGGACGGCCACCACGUCCCCGCCAACACGCGGCUCCUCAUCAACAUCUGGGCCAUCGGCCGCGACCCGGCGGCGUGGGAGGACCCGCUGGAGUUCCGGCCGGAGCGGUUCCUGUCCGGGCCGGCGGCCAAGAUCGACCCGAUGGGUAACAACUUCGAGCUAAUCCCGUUCGGCGCCGGCAGGAGGAUAUGCGCCGGGAAGCUGGCUGGAAUGGUGUUUGUGCAGUACUUCCUCGGAAUGCUGGUGCACUCGUUCGAGUGGCGGCUGCCGGACGGCGAGGAGAAGGUGGACAUGGCCGAGACCUUCGGGCUGGCACUGCCCAAGGCCAUCCCGCUCAAGGCCGUCGUUACGCGGCGGCUCGUGCCGGCCGCCUACGCAUGA
rnacentral:rRNA from 1 species